rnacentral:miRNA from 1 species
CAUCCUGUUGAGCUUACCGAGC